rnacentral:misc_RNA from 1 species
UGCUCCGGCAACCGGUGGAGUAAAGAAGCCCCACAGGUUUAGACCUGGGACUGUGGCCCUAAGAGAAAUCAGGAAGUAUCAAAAGAGCACGGAGCUUUUGAUCAGGAAGCUUCCAUUCCAGAGAUUGGUUAGGGAAAUUGCUCAAGAUUUCAAGACUGAUCUGAGAUUCCAGAGCAGUGCUGUUGCAGCCCUACAGGAGGCAGCUGAGGCAUAUUUGGUUGGGUUAUUUGAGGAUACGAACUUGUGUGCUAUUCACGCUAAGAGGGUUACUAUCAUGCCUAAGGAUAUUCAGCUGGCACGAAGGAUUAGGGGUGAGCGGGCUUAGAUCGGGGUUAUUUUGUGUUUCUUUGUGUCUUCAUUUUUAGCUUUUGUUCUAGAUCUAGAUUCUUAUGUGAUUAGGGUUUGA